rnacentral:rRNA from 1 species
CACGUAGGGCGCAAGCGUUGUCCGGAAUUAUUGGGCGUAAAGAGCUCGUAGGCGGUCUGUUGCGUCUGCUGUGAAAACCCGGGGCUUAACCCCUGGCUUGCAGUGGAUACGGACAGACUAGAGGUAGGUAGGGGAGAAUGGAAUUCCCGGUGUAGCGGUGAAAUGCGCAGAUAUCGGGAGGAACACCGGUGGCGAAGGCGGCCUUCUGGACGGUGACUGACGCUGAGGCGCGAAAGCGUGGGGAGCAAACGGG